rnacentral:piRNA from 1 species
UAGAAUUCUUUGAAAUAUAGCUGGCGA